GGUUUAGUCAGACUAGAGCUCUAUAGAGGUGGUUUAGUCAGACUAGAGCUCUAUAGAGGUGGUUUAGUCAGACUAGAGCUCUAUAGAGGUGGUUUAGUCAGACUAGAGCUCUAUAGAGGUGGUUUAGUCAGACUAGAGCUCUAUAGAGGUGGUUUAGUCAGACUAGAGCUCUAUAGAGGUGGUUUAGUCAGACUAGAGCUCUAUAGAGGUGGUUUAGUCAGACUAGAGCUCUAUAGAGGUGGUUUAGUCAGACUAGAGCUCUAUAGAGGUGGUUUAGUCAGACAGCAGCUCUAUAGAGGUGGUUUAGUCAGACUAGAGCUCUAUAGAGGUGGUGACUUGGAAUUAAAUAAUAGUCAUCAAAAAUACUAAUUUAAUCAAAUCCAAUUUUAUUGGCCACAUACACGUGUUUAGCAGAUGUUAUUGCGGGUGUUGAAAUGCUUGUGCUUCUAGUUCCGACAGUGCAGCAAUAUCUAACAAGUAAUAUCUAGCAAUUCCACAACAACAACCUAAUACACACAAAUCAAAGUAAAGGAAUUGAAUUAAGAAUAUAUAAAUAUGUGGAUGAGUAAAGACAGAGUGGCAUAGACUAAGCUACAGUAGAUGGUAUAGAGUACAGUAAAUACAUAUGAGAUGAGUAAUGUAAGAUAUGUAUUCAACCCGCAUAGUGCAUUUAAUGUUAACCAAAAAUGUCAAAACCAAAAAUCUGGAUAAUUUUUUAAAACGAACUUAUUUUUUAACCAAGCCAAGUAGUGCACUAUAAUAGGGAAUAGGGCUUUGGUCUAAAGUAGUGCACUAUAUAGGGAAUAGGGCUCUGGUCUAAAGUAGUGCACUAUAUAGGGAAUAGGGCUCUGGUCUAAAGUAUUGCACUAUAUAGGGAAUAGAGCUCUGGUCUAAAGUAGUGCACUAUAUAGGGAAUAGGGCUCUGGUCUAAAGUAGUGCACUAUAUAGGGAAUAGGUUGCCAUUAGGGACAUGACCUUCUGUCAUCGCCUGCUUCCUUUGAGGAUUGUUUAAUUGGUCUGCAGUAUUCACUGCACUCUUCAAGGCAUGGCUGUUUCCAUUGAGGCCCCAUUUCAUGUGUGAGACUGAUAAAACUCACUUCCAAACAUGGUAGUUUCUUCACUCUAGGCUAAAUCAAGUAGUCAAGGCAACCAUGAGUGACAUUCAUAUUUAAACGGUGAUGAGGGGUUUUGACAGACACAGGUAGUUGCCAGCUAGAGACAGUAAUACAGGUUCAGUUCCUCUUGUUUUGGUUCAACAGGAACAGAGAGUGGAAAAGGAAAACACUCUGUCCACAAACUGUGGGAGAUUUAUGUGGUGAUUCUCGUGUGUGUGUGUGUGUGUGUGUGUGUGUGUGUGUGUGUGUGUGUGUGUGUGUGUGUGUGUGUGUGUGUGUGUGUGUGUGUGUGUGUGUGUUGCACUUUUUGCGAGUUUGUCUGUGUAUUUUUUUAGAAACAACCCUAUGUAUCAGAAUUAGACUGGUGUCCCUUUUUGCAUUUUUGUGAAAUAUGAAUCUUCGUUGGGCCGCUGGUGUGAAUGGUAUUCCUAGUGUGCUCUCUGUCUCUCCAACACACACUAUUCAAAAGCCUGCACCCUCUGCUAAACCGUUCCCUGUGAUGAAGAUAUGGGCUCAAUGACAGGAUUUUACCUUUUCAAAAUGUGUGAAGGUUUUUAGAGAAUGCAUUGUCACACCACACUGUCACACACACUGGAUGAAUAGUCUGUUCCUGGAAACCCAUGGCCCCCUGCCAGCUCCAGGCCUGGGGUUUUACCCUGCAGCUUUAGCUGGCUGUGUGUGUGUGUCCACACAGCCCUGCACAGAUGUGAAAGCAUUACCACAGAGGCCGAGCAGGCAGAAACUAACUCUCUCUGUACCGUGGCUGUGCUCUUCACAAGG